GUCCUUUCGAGAUUCAAGAACAUCCAAUAAAAUUGGAAUGAUACGGAGAAGAUUAACAUGGUUUAUGCACAAGGAUGCAUGACACCCACAAAUCAAGAAACUAAAGGGUUGUUU
rfam:Nicotiana attenuata strain TT chromosome 11, whole genome shotgun sequence.